ACACGCAUGACACACUGCAUAUCAAUAAGCGGAGGAAAAGAAACUAACAAGGAUUCCCCUAGUAACGGCGAGUGAAGCGGAAAGAGCUCAAAUUUGAAAUCUUCAAGGGUUUCCCUUGACGAAUUGUAGUUUAAAGAAGUGUUUUCUGUUAGAGAGGUGGUAAAAGUUCUUUGGAAUAGGACAUCAUAGAGGGUGAGAAUCCCGUAUUUGACCGUUACUUUCCAGCUGUGUGAUACACUUUCAAAGAGUCGGAUUGUUUGGGAAUGCAGUCCAAAAUGGGUGGUAAAUUUCAUCUAAAGCUAAAUAUUGGCGAGAGACCGAUAGCGAACAAGUACCGUGAGGGAAAGAUGAAAAGAACUUUGAAAAGAGAGUUAAACAGUACGUGAAAUUGUCAAAAGGGAAGCGUUUGACACCAGUGUUGUUUAGUUGAAAAUCAAUUCAAUAAUUUUUGAUUUUGAGUAGUAUUGACUUCAUCAGCUUGCUGCUUUCUUUUCAGGAAUUAUUGAAUGCACUUUUCAGUUAACAAGUCAACAUCAAUUUCUUUUGUUGUAAUAAGGGUAAGAGGAAGGUGGCUUACGCUUCGGCGUAAGUGUUUAUAGCCUUUUACCUCUGCAAUCGGAGAGAUUGAGGACAGCAGCGUAGACUCUUCGGGGUUAGAUACACUUGUGCUAAGCUAUAGCCUUGUAUAGACAACUUGUUGACUAUGCUCAGUCAUGUAGCUUACUCGCUUGUGCUAUUUUACCUACGCUUAGGAUGUUGAGCGCAUGUCUCUCUC
rnacentral:rRNA from 1 species